AAUCGUGUGGACAUCACUGGGAAUGGAGGGAAAUAACUGACUGUAUGAUCGUUGCUUUUUAAGUUUCAAACUGACAUUCCAGGCGGGCUGUUGCCUGAGUGAGCAUCUGUCUUCAGAAUUUCACAGUGGGUUCCUGGGAAGGUGGAAGCCUCUCCCUGAUGGGUGAAGUGAGGAGCAGGAGGGGACCGACACGACAGAGGUGUGCAGCCUCCAGCAUCUCCUCCUUUGUGAACUGGAUCCUCCCCAAGGAGACUACGAGAUGAAAACUUCGGAGCCCGGGAGUGAGUGGCCAGCAGGUUGCAGACGUCAGGUGAUGGCCACCAGCCAGCAUGGAACACGCCCCCACAAGACACACAGCAGAGGUGCCACCUGGACCUCCCACCCUGUCAUCUCAAUGCCUUGGACCCCUGGCCAGGAUAUGUGGGGAUGGCACCCACCUGGGCACCCAGCUACUCAUCUGCUGUCUCACCAAUGAGGAGAAUGAAGAACACAGCUCUAUAUGAUGGAUCUGUGAAGUGUUCCUUGAAUAUCUCUGCCCAGAGUGCAACAAUGAGGCCGCUAAUUGAACAAUUCCAACAACCCCGUGGCAUCGUCUUCAGAUGUAUCAAGAUGUCCGGAGGGGAGAACGGAUUUAACUCUCUGAUUAGAAGGAAUACUCUUGGCUUAAGCCUCACUCAUUUUGAAAUCCUGACAUUCGCGAAGAAAAUCACUCAAGCUCUCUUGUUACUUCCUGUGCUUAAUUAAGUGGCUCUGCAGGUGACUCAAGCCUUUUAUUUUUCAGAAUGACAUCAGACUUAUUUUCCAUUUUAAUAGCCUGGUUACUUCAUUGAUUUUUUUUAAAAUCCAAUUUCACUUUCUAGUGCAAUUUUUUUUAUCUGUUAGGUUCCUGCCCCCCUCCAUCCCAGGAAAUACUAACUCCCUUAGUGGCUAAACUCCAGUUGUUACAAAUGCCUCCGGUUUUGUUUUGUUUUGUUGUUUUUUUGGAGCCCGGGGUCCAACAUCAGAAUUUGAAGAAGAAAUUAGAGGUAUAAUUUGAGGAAGGGCUUACAGGUGUAAUUCUUAUUUGCUAACUACCUAAUUUCACAAAGUGUUGGGACUAUGAAUGUAAUUCACUCUCUGCAGCUAUCCCUAAGAGGGGACUCUUAGUCUUGGAGCUGGCAUCUGAGUCCUUGGAAGAAGCCACAUCUGGGGAGUCCCACUGUGGCUCAACGGUAAAGAACCCAACAAGUACCCAUGAAGAUGUGGGUUUGAUCCCCAGCCUCACUCAGUGGGUUAAGGAUCUAGAAUUGCUCUGAGCUGUGGUGUAGAUCGCAGACGCGGCUUGGAUCUGGUGUGGCUGUGGCUGUGGUGUAGGCUGGUGGCUACAGCUCUGAUUCACCCCUAGCUUGGGAACCUCCAUAUGCCUCAGGUGCAGCCCUAAAAAUACCAACAAAAAAAAAAAAAAAAA
rnacentral:lncRNA from 1 species